rnacentral:lncRNA from 1 species
GACCAUAAAAGUUCCGAGAAAAUGUCGAAUGGUCAAUCUAGGAGACACCAUACUUACCACAAAGAGAUGGAUCACGCUUUCACUCUUAUUUUCCACAACAUCAAGAGACUGCAAGAUGACCGAAUAUGCAACAGCGCUCCUAACAUCGCCCAACCUCAGUAUGACCAGCAGGAGUCGAUAAAUCCAGCUAUGACACUGAAAGUCCCUUUCGCGCAGCCGAAGAGAUGUAUGUCUGAUUCUUCAUUGAAACUUGCAGUGGAAGACACACAGCACCACUUGAAAGGUUUAGAAAGUCGUGCUAAAUCUCGGUCUUUCAAUGGUAUCGAAACUAGUCCAAUGCAGAGAAGAAAAGUCAGAUUCGCUGACGACCAUGAAAUGAAAGACAGGCGGGUUGACCGACAAAGAAAAUCGUUAACUAAGAGAGUGUUUUCAGAUUUACAGCCACGUAUUGUUGUCACAAAAGAGGCUGAUAGCGAAAAAUAGGAGAUACGCAUGCAAAAUGUUGGAAGAAUAUCGUCGAAAAAAGGCUCCAAAAAAAUAUACGAGCUGUAAUUUAAAACAUUAAAAAGCUGUUACUUCCUACGAUGAGUUGUGUCGCCUUCGACUAGAUAAUCUUGACUACAGGUGGCUUUUGCCGUGCAAGCCGAGGACGAAUGCUUGAGUGAUGUUGGACGAAUUAAAUAAUUGCCCAUGGCAAAGUGCGGCGGUGUAAUGCUUUUGAAAAGAAGAGUCAGGAUAAAUGUUCGCCACACAAUGUCAACGCGGUAUGUUUACAGCAUAGCACAAUUUUUGAAACUUAAAAAUGCGUCGUAAGUCACUUACUAAUCCGGGAAUUGCUCUAUUACUUAAAUUGUUUACUGAAGAGACUUAAAAGAGCGUGAAAAGUAUAGAUAUUUCACUCUCACAAAUGUCAUUCUUGCUUUCCCCGACAUUCAUUCUUUGUGGACACAUCGUCAUUUUGAAAUCCACAUUUAGCUGUUAAUCCGUUAGUCACAAGCACUAUUACCGUUGUCGACUCACAAACCGACUUAAGGGCAAUGAAUUUCAUGGCUCAUUAAUCUAGAUGACUAAGAACGAAGUGAUCAAGGGAUCAGUUAAGUAAACUCUAGACAUGUUUAAAUGUUUGCAAGGGAAACUAGAUAGUUUGAGUAUCACGCAAGAAUCUACUACAAUGUUUGAACUGCAACAACCCUUUCCAGACUAAUUUGAUGAUGGCAGAAUUUUCAAUUAUGAUUUCUAUGUUUUUACCCUGCAGCAUAAAAAUGUUUAUUUGCAUAGAUAUCAGUUUGUUUGGUAGUUUUGCGGUUAUAAAAACCCGCAAGGUAAGAAAAAAGUUCCUUGAUGAAAUAAACUGCUGCGAGUUUUUGUGAAAACAAGGAUUUAACCUUUAUCGCCAACAUAUAUUUGAUGUUAAGUUGAGCUGUCUUUAAUUUUACUCAGUACAAAUUCCUGAUACGGAGAAAAUUGAAUAAAAACAGAAAUGAACCAACAAAUAAACGAAGGAGAAUUCGAACAUAUAAACAAACAAACUUGAGAAUUUAAGCUUGUCAGGUAUGGUUACCACGAAGAAAAUUUAAGUUAUGGAAUGCGUACAGGAAGUCAGCUCUGCCUGGGCCUGAUAUGUUCCAAGUAAUCUUGUCCAAAACUUUGAUCAGGCCAUCGAAACACUCGAUUGGAUUGCUUCAUCGGUCUUAUCAUCCUCUAUUUGAAAACCAAUGAUGUAAGAUGGAACCUGGCUUCACUACAGAACAUAACGAUUUUUUCUGUGGCUGACGACUACCUGCACAAGCUGUGCGACAAGAAGUAUCAACUAGAGUGAAGGAUUCAAACAAGCCAUUCUGAAAAUUUCAUAGAAGCGGCCGUAACAGUGAACCAUAUAUCAGUUCUGCUAGGUAAAAACACUGAUAACGAAAGUGACAGAAACUGCUAAAAAGAUAGAAUCCCCCCAAGUUCAACAAGAAAAAAAAAGUCCAUCCGGCAGAAAUCUUGCUCUGAUCCACUUCACGUCUUUUCUUUUCCCCGCAAUACGCGUCAUAGCCUGAACUAAUUAAAAAUACUUUUCAGGGCCCAUUUAUAUGGUGUGAGUAUCCGAGACAAUCUUUCCCAAGCCGAGCUAACUUUUCACGUAUUCUUUGAAGAAUUCAACCAACCGUCCGCAUCCUUUAAUUUUUGGCUCCCUUGCAAUUUCAAUCGCACUCUCUCAAUUGGAUACUUCAUGGAUACGCGUCAAAGCUUUUAUUACUUGAAAAUAAAUUUAGUCUUGAUUGUUUAGGUUCAUCUCUCAACACUCUUAACUAUCCUAAGCUAAUUUGGUUUUAUCAGCUGAGUUGACAAUGUAAAUUGGCCACAACAAAGAGUUUUCUGAAGCUGACGUUUCGCACGUCAGUCCAUCUCGCAUCUUCUAAUUAGGUACCCCCUCGGAAAGCAUUAUUUCAUGGUUUUAUUCCACUUUACCAGAAAUUUAAUUACGUUCAUUUUAGUUCAGUGAGAUGAAGAAAAGAAAAAACGAAUUCAUUAAAUGGCUUUUAGUGACACUGUAAACCCUCAGCAGCGCUAAAACAUAAAUAAAGCACUGAAAACGACA